AGUAGGUAGACUGAACUGAUGAGGAAUGUUUCAGCUGAAUAGGAAGAUUGCAUUGUUGAUGAUGUUGGAAUCUGCUGCAGAUAUCAUGCUAUAUGCACCUUGUGGGAUCUUAUUGAUAAUGCUUCAAUCUAUUCCAUAUUGUACAACAUUAAGCAAUGACUCUGUAGGUCAAGUGAAAGAUUCACUAAAGUUUGAUAGGGGUCUCUUGUGUUUGGUGUGCUGUACGUGAGAAACAUAAUACAAUUUGUAUUUGGAAGGAAGGUGUUUGGGGAUUUUGGUGCAGGGUAAAUUUUGUAGAAUUUCCAGAGUCACUGCCAUAUGUGCAUUUACAGCUGGGGCUAUGCUUCUCUUUAAUAUGGUAUCUUACAUUUGCCGUGGUUGCUUACGAAUGAAAGAUGGGAUGAAUCAAACUAUUCUUUUCUUAGUUUAUGGGCUAUAUGAUUAUCUUUGGAUUAAACGCUCUUUAAUGACAAACAUUACAGAGUGAUGGCUCUGUAACUGGAACUUGGAACUUCACCAAUGCCAAAUAUAUCAUUGCUACACUGUCAAAAACAAGUAUUUUACAGCUGGAUGAGACCUUGGCAUGAACAUAUAUUUCACUGUUAGUCUUGUUUAAAACUUUUCUGAUCGUUUUGAUUCUUGUCAUGGAUUUUUUUGAGCUACAUGAAUGUUACUCAGGGAAUGAGCUAAAUGAAUGAUGCUUAUUAAAAAGAUAUUGGAUCCAGCGUAUUGUAAAUACAUGUAGCAGCCUUCAAAACAUCCCAAGGACCUCAGCUGCCACUUCAGCAAGGGCAUGGAAUUUGGAACCAGGUGGGUGUUUAUAACAGUGGUCAUCAUCUGCCAUGAACGCAGUCGUGCUUAUUUCUGAUAACUUUUCUUAACAAUUGGUCACCAUCUGUGUCUGAUAUCUGUGGUUCAAUUUCCAAAGCUGAAUUAUACUGAUAUGAAUCUUACAACAUGUAUUCGGAUCAGCUUGGUACAUCAGUAGUAUGACACCAAAACAUAUUGCGAACAGACAUUGAUGAAUGGAAACUACAGCUUACUCUACAUUACUAACUGGUGUUCCCAAUCCAGAUUUCUACAGGUGGUUGAUUACAUCAUGAUCCUUACUCAACAUCUCAUUUAAAGGAUUAAUGUAUAAUUCUUUUGUAUUCUCAUUG